GUCGUGAGAUGUUGGGUUAAGUCCCGCAACGAGCGCAACCCUUGUCCUCUGUUGCCAUCAGGUUAAGCUGGGCACUCUGAGGAGACUGCCGGUGAUAAACCGGAGGAAGGUGGGGAUGACGUCAAGUCAGCAUGGCCUUUAUGUCUGGGGCUACACACGUGCUACAAUGGCAGAUACAAACCGUCGCGAUGCCGCAAGGUGGAGCUAAUCGGAGAAAGUCUGUCUCAGUUCGGAUUGCAGGCUGCAACUCGCCUGCAUGAAGUUGGAAUCGCUAGUAAUCGCGGAUCAGCACGCCGCGGUGAAUACGUUCCCGGGCCUUGUACACACCGCCCGUCACAUCACGAAAGCUGGCUGUACUAGAAGUCGCCGAGCUAACCCGCAAGGGAGGCAAGCGCCUAAGGUAUGGUUAGUGAUGGGGGUGAAGUCGUAACAAGGUAGCUGUAGGAGAACCUGUGGCUGGAUCACCUCCUUUCUAGAGUCUCGUGGCGUCUGCCGUUAUGGUCGAUGUCCAUCGAACUUGAAAAUUGAUCGAUCUGGUAUUCAACAGGCAAGAAGUGCAAGCACGUUCUAUCUAGUUUUGAGAGAACCGGACCGGGGGUUUCCCGGUAACGGCUCUUUGAAACUGGGCUUGAGUUGGUCUGGGAUCGGGAUCCCGGAUCGAGAUCUGGGGCCUGUAGCUCAGCUGGUUAGAGCACACGCUUGAUAAGCGUGGGGUCACUAGUUCGAAUCUAGUCAGGCCCACCACCUUCAAGGAGUUAAGUAUUGCGGAAUGCUUAGCGCGAAGUGAGACGGUAACGCGGACCUUCCGGUUUCCAACCCACCUCGCACGCACCAGGGCACACACGCAUACACGUUGACGGGGAAUUAGCUCAGCUGGGAGAGCGCCUGGUUUGCAACCAGGAGGUCACCGGUUCGAGCCCGGUAUUCUCCACCAGUUCGGUUCAUCCGUUCCGGCUUGCACGGUGCGAGCGGGUUUGGGUAGAAUCAAAAAUUCGCGCUCUUUUACAAUUGAAUAUUCUGCAAACGGUAGUUUUUUCCGACCACACACACGCAGUGUGCAAGGAGCUGUCGUAAGCAGCCGCGGAAUUAACCCUCCGCGCUGCCGACGUCAGCUUCGAGUUCUAGAAUGAAUAGGUCAAGCUACUAAGGGCGUACGGUGAAUGCCUUGGCGCUAGGAGUCGAUGAAGGACGUGGUAAGCUGCGAAAAGCUUCGGUGAGCCGCAAACAGGCUUUGACCCGAGGAUAU
rnacentral:sRNA from 1 species